rnacentral:rRNA from 1 species
UACGUAGGUGGCAAGCGUUGUCCGGAUUUAUUGGGUUUAAAGGGUGCGUAGGCGGUCCUAUAAGUCAGUGCUGAAAUAUCCCGGCUUAACCGGGAGGGUGGCAUUGAUACUGCAGGACUUGAGUGAGGUCGAGGUAGGCGGAAUUGACGGUGUAGCGGUGAAAUGCUUAGAUAUCAGGAGGAACACCGGUGGCGAAGGCGGGUCUCUGGGCAACAACUGACGCUGAGAUACGAAAGCGUGGGUAGCAAACAGG